CAGGAUGAACGUUGGCGGUGCGCCUAAUACAUGCAAGUCGAACGAGGAACUUGGAUUUAUUCAAGUGGAAAGUGGCGGACGAGCGAGUAACACGUAAGAACCUGCCCCGUACUCAGGGAUAACGGCCCGAAAGGGUCGCUAAUACCGGAUAGUCUCGAAAGAGUAAAGAUUUAUCGGUACGGGAGGGGCUUGCGGCUUAUCAGUUUGUUGGUGGGGUAAUGGCCUACCAAGACUAUGACGAGUAGCUGGUGUGAGAGCACGACCAGCCGCGAUGGGACUGAGACACGGCCCAUACUCCUACGGGAGGCAGCAGUAAGGAAUAUUCCGCAAUGGACGAAAGUCUGACGGAGCGACACCGCGUGGAGGAUGACAGCCCUAGGGUUGUAAACUCCUUUUUUGAGGGAAGAAGAUCUGACGGUACCUCAAGAAUAAGCUUCGGCUAAUUACGUGCCAGCAGCCGCGGUAAGACGUAAGAAGCAAGCGUUAUCCGGAAUUAUUGGGCGUAAAGCGUCCGCAGGUGGUCUACUAAGUCUGUUAUUAAAUCCCAGUGCUCAACAUUGGGGCUGUAAUGGAAACUAUUAGACUAGAGGAUGGGAGAGGUAUAUGGAAUUCUACAAGUAGGGGUAAAAUCCGUAGAUAUGUAGAGGAACACCAAAAGCGAAGGCAGUAUACUGGCCCAUUCCUGACACUCAGGGACGAAAGCGUGGGGAGCGAAAGGGAUUAGAUACCCCUGUAGUCCACGCCGUAAACGAUGCAUGCUCGGUGUAGGAACCCUCGACCUGGUUUCUGUGCCCAAGGUAACCCGUUAAGCAUGCCGCCUGUGUAGUACGAUCGCAAGAUUAAAACACAAAGGAAUAGACGGGGGCCCACACAAGCGGUGGAUCGCGGGGUUUAAUUCGUCAAUAAGCGAGUAACCUUACCCAGGUUUGACAUCUCUAUCGCAUUCUGUGGAAACACGAAAGUCGGUUCGGCCGGAUAAAUGACAGGCGCUGCAUGGUUGCCGUCAGCUCGUGCCUUGAGGUGUUCGGUUAAGUCCGUAAACGAGCGAAACCCUCAUCAUAUGUUGUAAUUUCAUAUGAGACUGCCGGUCAUAAACCGGAGGAAAAAAAAGGAUGACGUCAAAUCAGCAUGGCCCUUAUGCCUGGGGCUACACCCACGAUACAAUGGCGAGAUACAAACCGAAGCAAUACAGCAAUGUGGAGCCAAUCGGAUAAAACUCGUCUCAGUUCGGAUUGGAGUCUGCAACUCGACUCCAUGAAGCCGGAAUCGCUAGUAAACGUAUAUCAGUCACGGUACGUUGAAUAUGUUCCUGGACCUUGUACUCACCGCCCGUCAAGGCAUGGGAGUUAGGGGCGCCCGAAGUCUGCGAAAUAAUCGUGGCCUAAGGCGAAACUAAUG
rnacentral:rRNA from 1 species